rnacentral:rRNA from 1 species
UACAGAGGGUGCAAGCGUUAAUCGGAAUUACUGGGCGUAAAGCGUGCGUAGACGGUUAUGUAAGUUAGGUGUGAAAGCCCCGGGCUCAACCUGGGAAUUGCAUUUAAGACUGCAUAGCUAGGGUGCGGAAGAGGGAAGCGGAAUUUCCGGUGUAGCGGUGAAAUGCGUAGAUAUCGGAAGGAACACCAGUGGCGAAAAGCGGCUUCCUGGUCCAGCACCGACGUCAGGCACGAAAGCGUGGGGAGCAAACAGG